GUGGGGAAUAUUGGACAAUGGGCGCAAGCCUGAUCCAGCCAUGCCGCGUGUGUGAAGAAGGUCUUCGGAUUGUAAAGCACUUUAAGUUGGGAGGAAGGGCAGUAAGUUAAUACCUUGCUGUUUUGACGUUACCGACAGAAUAAGCACCGGCUAACUUCGUGCCAGCAGCCGCGGUAAUACGAAGGGUGCAAGCGUUAAUCGGAAUUACUGGGCGUAAAGCGCGCGUAGGUGGUUUUGUAAGUUGGAGGUGAAAUCCCCGGGCUCAACCUGGGAACUGCCUCCAAAACUGCAUGACUAGAGUACGGUAGAGGAUAGUGGAAUUUCCUGUGUAGCGGUGAAAUGCGUAGAUAUAGGAAGGAACACCAGUGGCGAAGGCGACUACCUGGACUGAUACUGACACUGAGGUGCGAAAGCGUGGGGAGCAAACAGGAUUAGAAACCCCGGUAGUCC
rnacentral:rRNA from 1 species